UUUUAGUGGCGAACGGGUGAGUAACACGUAAGUAACCUGCCUUUAAGACGAGGAUAACAACCGGAAGGUUACUAAGACUGGAUAGGAAACAAAAAGGCAUCUUUUUGUUUUUAAAAGACCUUCUUACGAAGGUAUGCUUAAAGAGGGGCUUGCGCCACAUUAGUUAGUUGGUAGAGUAAAAGCCUACCAAGACGAUGAUGUGUAGCUGGACUGAGAGGUUGAACAGCCACAUUGGGACUGAGACACGGCCCAAACUCCUACGGGAGGCAGCAGUAGGGAAUUUUCGGCAAUGGAGGAAACUCUCACCGAGCAACGCCGCGUGAACGAUGAACUAUUUCGGUAUGUAAAGUUCUUUUAUUGAAGCAGAAAAAGUAGUGCAAAAACUAUAUUCACGUUGUUCAAUGAAUAAGCCCCUGCCUAACUAUGCUGCCAGCAGCCCUCGUAAGACAUCAGGGGCCCGACCCUUAUCCCGAAUUAUUGGGCGUAAAAGGAUGCGUAGGCUGUUAGAUAAGUCUAUAAUUUAAUUUCAGUGCUUAACGCUGUCUUGUUAUAGAAACUGUCUUGACUAGAGUGAGAUAGAGGCAAGCGGAAUUCCAUGUGUAGCGGUGAAAUGUGUAAAUAUAUGGAGGAACACCAGAAGCGUAGGCGGCUUGCUGGGUCUUUACUGACGCUGAGGCACGAAAGCGUGGGUAGCAAACAGGAUUAGAUACCCUGGUAGUCCACGCCGUAAACGAUGAGCACUAAGUGUCGGGGUAAAACUCGGUACUGAAGUUAACACAUUAAGUACUCCGCCUGAGUAGUACGUACGCAAGGUAUGAAACUUAAAGGAAUUGACGGGACUCCGCACAAGCGGUGGAUCAUGUUGUUUAAUUCGAAGAUACACGAAAAAUCUUACCAGGUCUUGACAUACUCUGCAAAGCUAUAGAAAUAUAGUGGAGGUUAUCAGGGAUACAGGUGGUGCAUGGUUGUCGUCAGUUCGUGUCGUGAGACUGUUAGGUUAAGUCCUAAAACGAACGCAACCCUUGUCGUUAAUUGCCAGCGGAUAAUGGUGGGGACUUUAACGAGACUGCCAAUUAAACAUUGGAGGAAGGUGAGGAUUACGUCAAAUCAUCAUGCCCCUUAUGAUCUGGGCUACAAACGUGAUACAAUGGCUGUGACAAAGAGUAGCUGAAACGCGAGUUUUUAGCCAAUCUCAAAAAAGCAGUCUCAGUUCGGAUUGAAGUCUGUAACUCGACUUCAUGAAGUUGGAAUCGCUAGUAAUCGCGAAUCAGCAUGUCGCGGUGAAUACGUUCUCGGGGUUUGUACACACCGCCCGUCAAACCACGAAAGUUAGCAAUGCCCGAAAGCAGUAGCUUAACUUCGCAAGAAGAG
rnacentral:rRNA from 1 species